rnacentral:rRNA from 1 species
UACAGAGGUCUCAAGCGUUGUUCGGAUUCAUUGGGCGUAAAGGGUGCGUAGGCGGCGCGGUAAGUCGGAUGUGAAAUCUCGGAGCUUAACCUCGAAACUGCAUUCGAUACUGCCGUGCUUGAGGACUGGAGAGGAGACUGGAAUUUACGGUGUAGCGGUGAAAUGCGUAGAUAUCGUAAGGAAGACCAGUGGCGAAGGCGGGUCUCUGGACAGUUCCUGACGCUGAGGCACGAAGGUCAGGGGAGCAAACGGG